rnacentral:rRNA from 1 species
GCCUGAGUCGCAGCUGAUCAGCCAUGCCGCGUGCAGGAUGAAGGCCUUCGGGUUGUAAACUGCUUUUGUACGGAACGAAAAGCCUCUUUCUAAUAAAGAGGGGUCAUGACGGUACCGUAAGAAUAAGCACCGGCUAACUACGUGCCAGCAGCCGCGGUAAUUA